rnacentral:tRNA from 2 species
GCGAGUGUCUUAUAAAGGUUAUUAUAUUAGCAUAUAAUGCUGAAAAUGUAGGUCCGAUUCCUGCCUCUCGCACCA